rnacentral:lncRNA from 1 species
ACUCUGGAGGGAAGCAGGGCAAACAAGAGGGAUGACGACUGGGAUCAAACAGGAAAAGGUCUCGCUGCGGUCAGCUGAUUCACAGGAGAUGUUGAUAAGAGGGCACUUCUAUCUUUUGCUGUGCUUGCUCAAGCUUGAGGGCAAGCAGAGUUCAGGGGCCUAUAGGGAAGAGAGAGGCAAGACCAGACAAGAUCAAGACAAAGUACAGGACAAGAACAGAGCUGUUAUGAGCACUUGGUCCAUUUAACUCGGAUUGGAACACUGCCUUGGCAGAAUUCCCGGGCAAGCACCCUCUUCCUCAGGCAACUGCACUUAUCAGGACUUCCCUGGGGGUGGACACACACAGGCCAGCUCAGGAGCACAUCUAACUUCUAACCUCUAAUUUGGCACUAUUUCUAUUAAAUAAGCAGUACUCUCUACCCAGUUCUUAAGUACAAGUGCUGAACUUUUGCAGCUUAAAUGUCAGUAAAGGAAAUCCCUCCUAACUAUUAACUAAAACACUUCCUGGAGUUUCCGUUGUGGCUCAGCGGUAACAAACCCAGUUAGUACCCAUGAGGACUCGGGAUAGAUCCCUGGCCUCGAUCGGUGGCUUAAGGAUCCAGCAUUGCCAUGAGCUGUGGUGUCGGUCACUGACUUGGCUCGGAUCCUGCAUUGCUGUGGCUGUAGCAUAGGCUGGCAGCUGGAGCUCCAAUUCUGACCCCUAGCCUGGGAACCUCCGUAUGCCACACCUGUGGCCCUAAAAAGCAAAUAAAUAAGCAAUAAAUAAAUAAAUAAAUACACUUCCUAAAUCUGACCAAGAAAUGAUGCACUAAUAACCAAAUUCCUAAAUAUCAGAGCUUGAAGGAAACCUGAAAAUCAUUGAGUCCAAUGUAAUAAUCCCAUAGAUUGGGAGACUGUGACCUCAUCUAGAGACAUCCGAGGUGUCGGGAUUUGAGAAUAAUAUUUAUAAAGUGUCAUAGGGAGUUCCUGCAAUGGUGCAAUGGGAUUGGCAGUAUCUCUGGAGCACCGGGACACAGGUUCAAUCCCCAGCCCAGCACGGUGGGUUAAAGAGCCCCUACUGCCGCAGCUGCGGUAUAGGUCACAACUGGGGCUUGGAUCUGAACCAUGACCAAAGGAUGCCUCAUGCCAUGGGGCAGCCAAAAAACAAAACAAAAAACUUAAAAAGAUAAAAUAAAUAAGAUGUCACAGUCCUGGUGGACAGGGACAGAGGACAUAAACAGGUGAAGUAUUCCCCCUGAACCUAGAGAUAAAAUAUCAUCCCAUUUCUUUCCCAUGGAACUAUAGGCCUAUAGGAACUAUAGGGCUCCUUGACCAAAGGUUUGUAGCCUCUGGGAUCAGAAGGGCCAGGAACACUGAAGGUCAAAGUCAGAGAGAGACAGAGAGAGGGGAGAAUGCCCAGCGGACUGACUUAGCCUCAGCCAGAGCCACAGCAAACUGGGCUACCUAUGUCCAUGGGGGUGUCUGAAUAGAAGCUACUGUGUCUCUGGUAUAAAGAAAGAUCCAAAAGGACCUUUCAAACCAAAAUAAUCAAUAAACUCUGUGCUUAUUUAAUCUGUCUUAACUCUGGACCCUGGAAGACAGAAGCACCUUCACCCUUGCAAACACACUUGCUCAUUCACUUAACUCUGCAGAAACUGACGAAAUGACCUUCAGGAAAAUUAGAAAAUCGAGAUGUGCAAAGGGACUCGAGAGCAUUCAAACAUGACAAGUAAAGAACAAAAUUUUGCAAAAUGUCGUGACCAGACAGAUGGCCAGUGGAGAAGAGGGAGCCUUCAAAUGGACACGCUUAACUGAAGCUUUUGAGAGAAGAGUGGAAAAGGAGUUAGGGAAGAAGAGGAAGCCGUAGAGAAAGAGAAACACAGCAUCCGUGUAUCUCUGCUCCGUCUUUACAGUAUUUUUAACUUCCUUGGUGUCUGACAAGAGCACCGGGCUGAAAUCGAUUUAGGGAUAGUACCAGAUCCACAAGGAGUGGCCUCUCAGGACAUAUAUUAUUUCAGAGUCUUUCCUUUCCUCCGAGUAGUUGAGGCACCAUCAGGACACUGACCUGAAGAAUGAUUCUCUACUGGGGAGGCCCGGGGUCAUUCUGGCACAUCUUUCCCUGCCCCCUCCUCAGACAACACCUCCCCUCACCAACAACACUUCCAACACACACACACACACACACACACACACACACAGAAUUACAGAUCAGCUGGUGAGGAAUAAAGGUUCAGAAGGCAGAACACAUGGUAAAGGACAAACGUCAUCAAAGUCUUCAUGAAGCAGGUCAAGCUGUGAUGUUUUUCAUUCAUUCAAGGACCGAAUCGUCUCUCUACAGUAUGUUACAUAUUGCAAAGAAGCUGUACACACAUCAAAUUGGAGCUUUUCCUUUUUUGCUACUGUCUGCCACAAAAAUUUCUGCCGACACUCAACAAAUGCUCUGUGCCCACUUACUCCCCUUGGCUAAUCUGACCUUGUGCUUUUAUUUGAAGGUUCAUUACAGAAUAUUCUCUGGAAUGAUCACAAGGCAGAAGCCCUGAAUUCAUCCUAUUCUCAACUUGAGAGCCACAUGCCAUAUCUUUCAGUGUUUGAUUUCCUUUCUAAUAUAAAAAUAUGCAAUUUAUUCAUCUGACAUUUUUUAUUAUUUUAUCUUAUUGUUUUAUUUUUGCCUUUUUAGGGCCAUACCUGCAGCAUAUGGAAGUUCCCAGUCCAAGGAUCGAAUCCGAGCCACAGCAUCACCUUACACUGCAGCUGCAGCAACACAAGAUCCUUAACCCACCGUGUGACAGUGGGAACUCCAGAAUAACUUAACUUUUAAGCUGAAUCUUAAAAAUAAAGAUGAGAUAGAUGUCAGCAUCAAAAAUUGUGUCAAGAAGAAAGCUUAAAGAAAAGAAAAAGAAACAAGAUAGAGUACCUGUUAUCACAAGCUUCCUCAAGUGAGACCCAAAUGUCCAAAUAUCCCAAAACAUAAGACACAUAAAGUUUCCAAACGGAAACUGCUACAACUCAGAAGACAACUAAAGAAAAACUCCACAAGCCCCCGGCAAAAUUCAGAGGUCAAAAAUAUUGCUAAACUGUGUCUUUUCUAAUGCUUUCCACUUAAAGCUCUUUCUGCAUAGGAUCUGAAAUUUCUAAGUUUCAUCACAUUUAUUUCACUUAGCUACUGUUCCUUUCUUUAAAACUUUGAGCCAAAUGCCAGCCCUUAGGAAAGUGGAAAGAUUAUGUUUCAUCAUUUUAAAAGGGAGGAAAAGAAAGGGGUGGCUCCUCUCACCUCCAACAUGAUUUGCAUGUCAUUUAGGCAUUAGUGUUGAGACUUCUUUUGGUUUCAUAGCUUUGGGGAGGGGUGAGGCAAGAUGACCCAUAGACUGUUGGCACCUACCUGAGAAAGGCAUAAUGAGAAUUACUCCCAGCUUAACGAUUUAUCAAAGUUUAUAAAAUACCUUGAACCCCCUGAAGCGGUGGCACGCUAACUAUGAGAAGAGGCGCCACUUGCAGAAAUGAUGUGGUUAAGACAUAAAAGCCAAUAACCUAAAGGGCUACACAGUAAAGGGAAUUGCCACGUAUUUAAUAAGGUGUCCCAAUCAAAGGCAAUCGAAGGAAAAAUUAAAAGAAGGCAGAACACUGAAACACAAACGACUGAAUUUAAAGACGAAAGCAUACACAUAGUUAACAGAGGGCCAGGACUUGCCAAGAUAAGCAAGAAAGUUUUAAAUAAACACAAGUCAGCUACUUGAGCCUAAAGCUCAGGAGCAAGAAGUAUUUUUGGAAGCACCUAUACUUUAAAAACAAACAAAAAAAACCCUUUAAAAAAUUGUAGUAAAAUGUACGUAACGUAAAAUUUACCAUUUUAAUUAGUUUUAAGUGUAUAGUUCAUUUCCACUGCUCUGUGACCAAUCUCCAGAACACUUCUUAUCUUGCAAAACUAAAACUGUACCCAUUAAACCCCUCAUUGCCCCUCCCCCAACCCUGGCAACCACUAUUCUAUUUUCUGUCUCUGAAUUUGACUACACCGGUACCUCAUAUAGAUAGAAUCAUACAGAUUUGUCUAGGAAAAAAAAAAAAAAAAAAAA